rnacentral:tRNA from 1 species
GCCGAAGUGGUGAAACUGGUAGACGCAGCGGACUCAAAAUCCGCCGGAGGCAACUCCAUGAGGGUUCGAUUCCCUCCUUCGGCA